ACAAUCUGAAAGACAUUCAAGGUUACCAUUGCAUCUUUAGGUUGUAGACUCCAGUAGCCACAGUGAGGAGCUCUGUCUGCCAGCCCUGGUCUCUGCUUUGGCUCUGCUCCCAUACUGGCCAUAGCAACACUCCAGUCUCCUGCCAUAGCGACACACACCUGCUUGGUUUCCAGUAAGGACUUGUCGGUAGUGCCUUUUUAGAACAAGAGAGGAGUAGAAGGUAAGAUGUGUAAUUUCACUGUCUCAAAA